GAGAUGUUGGGUUAAGUCCCGCAACGAGCGCAACCCUUGCCCUUAGUUGCCAGCAUUCAGUUGGGAACUUUAAGGGGACCGCCGGUGACAAACCGGAGGAAGGUGGGGAUGACGUCAAGUCAUCAUGGCCCUUAUGACCAGGGCUACACACGUGCUACAAUGGCCGGUACAAAGGGUUGCCAACCCGCGAGGGGGAGCCAAUCCCAAAAAGCCGGUCGUAGUCCGGAUCGCAGUCUGCAACUCGGCUGCGUGAAGUCGGAAUCGCUAGUAAUCGUGAAUCAGCGAUGUCACGGUGAAUACGUUCCCGGGUCUUGUACACACCGCCCGUCACACCAUGGGAGUUGAUUGCACCAGAAGUAGGUAGCCUAACCGCAAGGGGGGCGCUUACCACGGUGUGGUCAAUGACUGGGGUGAAGUCGUAACAAGGUGA
rnacentral:rRNA from 1 species